AACGAACGCUGGCGGCGCGUCUUAAGCAUGCAAGUCGAACGGCAAGAGGUAGCAAUACCUCCUAGAGUGGCGGACUGGUGAGUAACACGUGGGUGACAUACCCUUCGGAUGGGGAUAGCUAUUAGAAAUAGUAGAUAAUACCGAAUACGAGCACAGGGGUUAGAGAUCUGUGAGGAAAGGAGCUAAGGCUCCGCUGAAGGAAUGGCCUGCGGCCCAUUAGCUAGUUGGUGAGGUAAGAGCCCACCAAGGCGAUGAUGGGUAUCCGGCCUUAGAGGGUGAACGGACACAUUGGGACUGAGAUACGGCCCAGACUCCUACGGGAGGCAGCAGCUAAGAAUAUUCCGCAAUGGACGAAAGUCUGACGGAGCGACGCCGCGUGGAUGAAAAGAAGGCCGGAAGGUUGUAAAAUCCUUUUGAAACUGAAGAAUAAGCGUUGUAGGGAAUGACAGCGUGGUGACAGUAGGUUUUGAAUAAGCAACGGCUAAUUACGUGCCAGCAGCUGC
rnacentral:rRNA from 1 species